rnacentral:lncRNA from 1 species
UCUCUGCGACAGACAAACAGAGACCAUUACAAACAGCCACAACUCAUCAAAAUGCAGAGUGUGCAAUCCAGUCCCAACUGAUAUAUCUAUAAAGCUUCUCUGGCACAUAAGCCUCAGGGAUUUGUAGAAGCUAUUUCCGUGACAGAAAGAGUAUUACUACCUCAGCUGGAAAAUCUUUGACACUGAAAGAUGCAAAUGAGGAUAAUUCAACUUCCAUCUUUCCUUAUGGAGAGACAUUUCUCUUCCAGAGACUAGAAAGUUCCAAGGUUAGUCUCAUUCAUUUUCUUUCAUUUUUCCAUGAGCANNNGAGUUAAUACCCAUGUCAUUUUUAAUUUGAUUACCAUCCUUUCCCAUUUAGCAUAUAUGAUAGCAGGAAGGAAAAAGUGAGUGAAGACAAAGUAGAAGACAUUUGGAUACCCCGUGAAGAUAAAAAUAAUCUUCCACAGGAUUCUGCUUCUGAGUCAGAAUACUCAACAGUUGAGGAGUGCUUCCAGAGUUUAAGAAGAAAAAAUUCCAAAGCAUCUAAGUCUAGGACUCAAAAAGCCUUCUACUUGGACCCUUUUAAUAGGCACAGUUAUCCUCUAAGUUCCACAAGUGAAAAUACUGAUCCAUCAACCAUCGCAAAUGCCAUCUCUCCCUAUGCCUGCUUCUAUGGCUCUUCUGCAGCUAAAG